GGCUCGUUGGUCUAGGGGUAUGAUUCUUGCUUAGGGUGCAGCAGGUCCCGGGUUCAAAUCCCGGACGAGCCC
rnacentral:tRNA from 1 species